rnacentral:sRNA from 1 species
UUUAUAGAUAGAUAUAAUUUGCAAAAUUUUAUAUAUAUUAAUUUAAAAAAAUAAAUUGUCUCCGCGGUGUACCGCGGGUUAAAAUCUAGUAUAGAUUAUAAUGCUUAGCUAAAUUUUAGUUAAGAGAUUUCUU